UACGAAGGGGGCUAGCGUUGUUCGGAAUUACUGGGCGUAAAGCGCGCGCAGGCGGUUCUUCAAGUCAGUGGUGAAAGCCCGGAGCUCAACUCCGGAACUGCCAUUGAAACUGUGGAACUUGAGGAUGAGAGAGGUGAGUGGAAUUCCCAGUGUAGAGGUGAAAUUCGUAGAUAUUGGGAAGAACACCGGUGGCGAAGGCGGCUCUCUGGACCGACACUGACGCUGAGGCGCGAAAGCGUGGGGAGC
rnacentral:rRNA from 1 species